rnacentral:antisense_RNA from 1 species
CUUGAUGGAGCCGAGCCACAACGGCCGUUCCUCGGCGCGGCCUUGACCGUAGGUGGCGAGCAGCGCCUGCGCCUC